rnacentral:sRNA from 1 species
CUGGGCACUCAGUUACGCUCAGAAGCCUUGCAUAUGUGGUUGUAAUUCUACAAUCUGUCCUAAGAGAAAGGCAUUGGACAGCUAUGGCAUCGUUCCCGUACCUGUAGUCUACCUGGGGCAUCUUGCCCAACUGAGGUCUCUUCCACCUGUCUGGAACGGGCUCCCAUACUGAAAGCAUAGCGUCUUCUCACAGACACACAUCUUGGGGGCAGUCACGGCAACCUCAGAAAGCAAGGCCAGCCUUGUGAACGUAUUUUCAAGUCUCUUAUGUUAUUACAUCCAUUAAAGACUCGAUUGGCCAAAGCAAGUCACAUUAUUCCACUGUGAUGCUGUAGCAAUUAUGGGAAAGGUUUAUUUGCACUUGGGAGUAGUUUUCACUCCUCACAAAGGAGCUUUUUGUCUUCACUUUGUAGAAGAGGGGGAAGGGAUGGUUUGUUCCAGGAAUCGUAGCCGGCUUGCAGUGAACCAGGAGGUUUUGCUAUGGGGUGGGAUUGAAGCUGCCUGUGGUGGACUCUUCUUGACUUAUUCAGAAGUCCACCAUAGCCACUGGGCCAUCCCAGAGGUAGAGACUUCUCUAUUGAUCAUUCCCACCAGGGAUGCCCUCUGUCCUGCCUCAUGUGUGUGCUGACCAGCCUAUGUGAAAGAGUCUCAUGUCGGACCUAGGAAUAAAACACCCGGUUCUGUGUCUGCAGUCAAAUCCCUUUGCUGUUUAAGGGCCAUUGACACCGUCUCUUCUGAGAGCAUCCUUCUGUGAUGACUUUUCUGGAUCUUGGACAUGCUCAGAGCCCAGCUGAAGAAGAGCUGUCUGUUUAAUAGGAGUCUGGGGAAAGGUUCCUGUUUAUCAAAACACACCCACACAACAAAACUGCCGAGGAGUUCGCAUUGCCAGAAUCAGCCUGAGGCCAGGGUGAGGUGAAGAGAUAGGAUCUUAUUUAUUAAAGGAAACAAGAUUUUCUCUUGCUGCUCUGCUACAGGAGCAGAUGCUCUGAAGAUUGACGGAAUCCUAGGGCACAGGGAAGGAGUGUGGCGUGGGCUGAAGUACGGACUUAUUCAACACCUUGGUUCGGGACUCGCCCACCAACCCUUUCCCAAGUAACCACUAAUUUGCGCAUGCUCAGUGGCUGUUCUGCAAACAUGAAUGGAGGCUCUCAUCCAAUCUCCUAUUAGCCUUCUCUGCCCCGGACCCCAGCCUGUGGAAUGGUGCCAUUCACGUUCGGAGUGGAUCUUCACCCUUGGUUAAACUUCUCUGGGUGACUGGCAGUUGGGAAUCACCUAUGUUCUAGGGUCAUGAGGAUGAGGAACGAAAAAGAGAUGGUGGUGAUCCUGAGCUCCUUUGCAGAGAGGACCAUUCUUCUUCCUGCACUCUGGUUUGCUUGGCAGUCGCCUGGGAAGAAGGAAUGUCAACUGAAGAAAUGACUCCAUCAGUUUGGCCUGUGGGGUAGCUGCAGGAUGUCUGGCUUUGUAGCAUCUAAUGCUGUCUGGGAUGGCUCCAUUCUGCUCUGACUCCUAGCAACAGCAUCCCUCUGUGCACUAGCCCCACAAGUCGGAUGUCCAGAAGAGGCUGUUUUUGGAGUCCCUCAACUGAGGUGAAAAUAGGCAGUUGUUCCUUCUCCCAGGACCCGUCCGGCUGCAUCUGUCUCAGGCUACCCAGAGAAGAUGGCUUUGCACCCGCUGCUGAUGGGCCUUCUGGAUCAUUCCAUCUGCCAUGCAACAGUGGCCCCAUUAAGCUUUAUUCUUCAGGAGGUCUUUGCUACUGUCUAAUAGUUUCCGUGCAUCUAUCAAGUUCCCCCUCUUUCCAAAAGAGCAGACUUGGAAAUAGAUUCUGCAUCUGUUUCUUUGGAACAAUAGAACACAUUUAAACCAUGCUGCUGUGGCUCCCCGAGUUUUAUUAGCAUUUCACCUGUGGUUUGGUGACACACACAAGCUGGCUUGAAAACCGUUGAAAAGGGUUUCUUUGUUGAUUAAUUUGUUUUUCUUUCUCAUGACUCUGCCACUUAGGAGAUAUUUAAAUUGCGUUUUGCUACUUUGUGCAAAGCCAGUCUGCUCAGGCAAAAUGAUGUCAUGGGGAAAGUUGAAUUUGCAAUUUACAGAGUAAAAUACACCUGGAAGAGGGAGGGCCUCAGUGGCCUGGAGGCCCAGUGUGUCUACUGAUGGCGAUGGCUAUUGGUGGCAAGUUCGAUACCAUUCCUGAUGUCUGGCGUUUUGACUUCUGCUCUGAUAUCUACAGGAGCAGAGUAUUCAUUUCCUUUAUAUCAGCCAUGAGCUCUGCUCAUGCUCCCUGAACUAUGUCGCACAGGAAGUAUCAUGGGCUCCACAUGUUCCAGUUUGGAUUCCUUAGUUAAGACUACAGAGCCCCAGACUGUGAUAUCCUAGAGGGUCCACAUAUUGACAUGUGUCCUCCCCAGAGCCCCUGGAGGACAAAUAAAAAGUCACUGGAAUCUACUGAAAGCAGUGAAUGUGCAGAGACGCAGGAUCUGGGUCCAUUAGAAACAGACACCCCGGAGCAGACUUUGUUAUAAGGACAACACACAGUAAUUUGGGACUCAACCAGCAUAGAGGGCACAUUCUCUUCUGUCUUGGGUAAGGUCACUUCCAAUCUGUGUGCCCCUUAUCAUUCACAACAAAUGUGUACCCGUGAGAGUUCUUCUCUUUAUUAACUGGGCCAUAACUGUAACUUAAAGCCAGCAUUGUAGUCACUCCUGAAAGCUUUACAGAUGCACUCCUAGACCACAUACCAGGAGUGUGGUUGGGGUCUAGAAGCCUGGAUCUUAGGAAGAGCAGAAGAGAUAAACAACUGAUAACCUGAUUUUGUACCAAAGUUCUCAGAGCCCCUUGGGAUGUUUGUUAACCACUGAGAUUCACAGGAGCUGGGAGAGGGACCUGGCACUGAAGUUCUAAAAGGCUCCCCAGGAGCACCAUGUUUGAGGAAGAUCGCCUUGCAGAGCAUUGUCUUAACAAGGCUCAUAGCUCUGUGUGGCUGCUUGUCACAGAGUACUGUGAACAACGAAGAUUAUUGUCCUCAUGGUGAAUGAUUGUGGAAGGGCUUGUGAGCUGUGCUGGCCACUGCAGAAAUACUCCUUGCCACAGAUUAGUUGGGCUGCUUGUUCCUACCCUCUGCUGUUCCUGGUCUUCAGAGAACCAUAGCAUCUGAAAAUUUAUUUUAUUUUUUUUUGAAGGCUGAACAUCAUGCCGGCAGUUACCAGAAACAAAUGCAUCACUUCUCACACCUUACCCUGCUUUGCACCUGGAGAAAUCACUUGUCCUCUCCACAACUCCUGCCCCUGGGAAGAGCUGAUUAUUCAUUUCUCACAGCUUGCUCAGUCCAGCCAUUUUUUUCUCUAGUGCUCCUGGCCAGGAGUGGGUAGAUAGCUGUGAAUCCCACUGUGUAGGAUGCAGCCAUCGGAUGGAGCCUUGAUUGUCAAGAUACAUGUCACCCACCCCUGGAAUCCAGGGAGGGUGUGAGCCAGGCUGGUGGGGAAGAUGCUGCUGUGAGACUUGCCUUUCUCACUUUGACUUUCCACAUGUCUUUCAGAAAGUGUCACGGGAGUGGGAGCUUCAGGUACCAAGGUGUGCAGCAAUGCUCACUGCAGGGACUGUGGCCAAGGGUGAUGUCACAGGGAAUCCCCCGGAGGCUAUUCAUCCUCUCACUCUUCCAGAUUAUCUUUGUUGGCUCCUAGGAACCUGCAACAUUCCCAGCAGACAUUCAAGACUUUCUGUCUGCCUCUCCCAAUUUCCAUCUUGACUUUGGCAUUGAUGAGUGAACCUGAGUGUUUGCUCAAUUCUCUGGGCAUCAGUGUCUAUACCAGCCAUGUGAGGGUGGCUAGCUUUCAGGGGUAUUUGUGAAGGAUCCUCUCU